rnacentral:rRNA from 1 species
UGAGGAAUAUUGGUCAAUGGAGGCAACUCUGAACCAGCCAUGCCGCGUGCAGGAUGACGGUCCUAUGGAUUGUAAACUGCUUUUGUACGGGAAGAAAUGUAAUUACGUGUAAUUAUUUGACGGUACCGUAAGAAUAAGGAUCGGCUAACUCCGUGCCAGCAGCCGCGGUAAUACGGAGGAUCCGAGCGUUAUCCGGAAUUAUUGGGUUUAAAGGGUUCGUAGGCGGUUGAGUAAGUCAGUGGUGAAAUCUUAUAGCUUAACUAUAAAAUUGCCGUUGAUACUGCUUGACUUGAAUAGUAUGGAAGUAAUUAGAAUAUGUAGUGUAGCGGUGAAAUGCUUAGAUAUUACAUGGAAUACCAAUUGCGAAGGCAGAUUACUACGUACUUAUUGACGCUGAUGA